ensembl:miRNA MIR3074 microRNA 3074
GGGCUCGACUCCUGUUCCUGCUGAACUGAGCCAGUGUGUAAAAUGAGAACUGAUAUCAGCUCAGUAGGCACCGGAGGGCGGGUCC